CCUUAUACUGCAGUCGAGCGACAGACGAGGAGCUUGCUCCUCUGACGUUAGCGGCGGACGGGUGAGUAACACGUGGAUAACCUACCUAUAAGACUGGGAUAACUUCGGGAAACCGGAGCUAAUACCGGAUAAUAUAUUGAACCGCAUGGUUCAAUAGUGAAAGACGGUUUUGCUGUCACUUAUAGAUGGAUCCGCGCCGCAUUAGCUAGUUGGUAAGGUAACGGCUUACCAAGGCAACGAUGCGUAGCCGACCUGAGAGGGUGAUCGGCCACACUGGAACUGAGACACGGUCCAGACUCCUACGGGAGGCAGCAGUAGGGAAUCUUCCGCAAUGGGCGAAAGCCUGACGGAGCAACGCCGCGUGAGUGAUGAAGGUCUUCGGAUCGUAAAACUCUGUUAUUAGGGAAGAACAAAUGUGUAAGUAACUAUGCACGUCUUGACGGUACCUAAUCAGAAAGCCACGGCUAACUACGUGCCAGCAGCCGCGGUAAUACGUAGGUGGCAAGCGUUAUCCGGAAUUAUUGGGCGUAAAGCGCGCGUAGGCGGUUUUUUAAGUCUGAUGUGAAAGCCCACGGCUCAACCGUGGAGGGUCAUUGGAAACUGGAAAACUUGAGUGCAGAAGAGGAAAGUGGAAUUCCAUGUGUAGCGGUGAAAUGCGCAGAGAUAUGGAGGAACACCAGUGGCGAAGGCGACUUUCUGGUCUGUAACUGACGCUGAUGUGCGAAAGCGUGGGGAUCAAACAGGAUUAGAUACCCUGGUAGUCCACGCCGUAAACGAUGAGUGCUAAGUGUUAGGGGGUUUCCGCCCCUUAGUGCUGCAGCUAACGCAUUAAGCACUCCGCCUGGGGAGUACGACCGCAAGGUUGAAACUCAGGAAAAUGUGACGGAGGA
rnacentral:rRNA from 1 species